rnacentral:rRNA from 1 species
GAUGAACGCUGGCGGCGUGCUUAACACAUGCAAGUCGAACGGAAAGGCCCAAGCUUGCUUGGGUACUCGAUUGGCGAACGGGUGAGUAACACGUGGGUGAUCUGCCCUGCACUUCGGGAUAAGCCUGGGAAACUGGGUCUAAUACCGGAUAUGACCACUUCUUGGAUGUUGUGGUGGAAAGUUUUUUCGGUGUGGGAUGAGCUCGCGGCCUAUCAGCUUGUUGGUGGGGUAAUGGCCUACCAAGGCGUCGACGGGUAGCCGGCCUGAGAGGGUGUACGGCCACAUUGGGACUGAGAGACGGCCCAGACUCCGACGGGAGGCAGAAGGGGGGAAGAUUGCACAAUGGGCGCAAGCCUGAUGCAGCGACGCCGCGUGGGGGAUGACGGCCUUCGGGUUGUAAACUCCUUUCGCUAGGGACGAAGCGUUUUGUGACGGUACCUGGAGAAGAAGCACCGGCUAACUACGUG